rnacentral:rRNA from 1 species
CGGAGGGUGCUAAGCGUUGUCCGGAUUUAUUGGGUUUAAAGGGUGCGUAGGCGGCUUUUUAAGUCAGUGGUGAAAUCCAGCAGCUUAACUGUUGAAUUGCCAUUGAUACUGGAGAGCUUGAGUACAGACGAGGUAGGCGGAAUUUAUGGUGUAGCGGUGAAAUGCAUAGAUACCAUAAAGAACACCGAUUGCGAAGGCAGCUUACUAGGCUGUAACUGACGCUGAGGCACGAAAGUGUGGGGAUCAAACAGGAUUAGAUACCCUGGUAGUCCACACUGUAAACGAUGAUUACUCGAUGUGUGCGAUAGACAGUACGCGUCCAAGCGAAAGCGUUAAGUAAUCCACCUGGGGAGUACGGCCGCAAGGCUG